rnacentral:rRNA from 1 species
GGCUGAUAUCAGAUUAGGUAGUUGGUGAGGUAAAGGCUCACCAAGCCGACGAUCUGUAGCUGGUCUGAGAGGACGACCAGCCACACUGGGACUGAGACACGGCCCAGACUCCUACGGGAGGCAGCAGUGGGGAAUUUUGGACAAUGGGCGCCAAGCCUGAUCCAGCAAUGCCGCGUGCAGGAUGAAGGCCUUCGGGUUGUAAACUGCUUUUGUACGGAACGAAACGGUGAGCUCUAAUACAGUUUGCUAAUGACGGUACCGUAAGAAUAAGCACCGGCUAACUACGUG